rnacentral:rRNA from 1 species
GACGAACGCUGGCGGCGUGCUUAACACAUGCAAGUCGAGCGGUAAGGCUCCUUCGGGAGUACACGAGCGGCGAACGGGUGAGUAACACGUGAGCAAUCUGCCCUUCUCAUCGGAAUAACCAUUGGAAACGAUGGCUAAUGCCGAAUAUGACUUCCUACCUCAUGGCAGGAAGUGGAAAGCUCCGGCGGAGAAGGAUGAGCUCGCGGCCUAUCAGCUUGUUGGCGGGGUAACGGCCCACCAAGGCGACGACGGGUAGCCGGCCUGAGAGGGUGACCGGCCACACUGGGACUGAGACACGGCCCAGACUCCUACGGGAGGCAGCAGUGGGGAAUAUUGGACAAUGGGCGAAAGCCUGAUCCAGCAACGCCGCGUGAGGGAUGACGGCCUUCGGGUUGUAAACCUCUUUCAGCAGGGACGAAGCGAAAGUGACGGUACCUGCAGAAGAAGGACCGGCCAACUACGUGCCAGCCGCCGCGGUAAGAC